UCACCAUCACCACCACUCCCUGUUUUCUUUCUCCCUCUUUUUUCUCUAAACACGUGAAAGCGUUACUGACGGGCUAAAUAACGUAAUAACAGGCAGAAUUAUUAUAAGAUGGAAGAAGGGUGACCCUUAAGACUCCUGAUGACAUUGUGCAGGACACACUGAGAAAAACUAUGACUUAUAAAACAAUAGGUGUUCAAAGUCGUUGAUUGGAAGUAACAACACAACAAAUUUUUUAAAAUGUCUAAGUCAAAUGUGGGACACUAAAGCCUACGUUGCAAGGGGGAAAUAUAUGGCACAGUAGGGGUGAGCUUUGUUACAAAGGAGGAGAAAGAGGAAGCACUCCACUUUGUCCUUAGAAAAUGAGGACCUCUUUCUUGUACCCAAAUACCUGAGUCGUACAUUGGCAAAAAUAAAAAUAAGUGACAUACCACCAGAAAUAGACAUCUGCUGGUUGGCGGCAGCUGUCUUCCUUAACACAGAGAACAAAACAAACAUCCUACAGGUGCAGAAACUGCACAAGCAAAACUGGUUUGGGCAAACCUUAGAGUUGUGGGUAGAAAUGGAUAACAAAUAUUUUGAAGCAAUUCUGAAUAUCACAAAUUUACCAGAUGGCACCAACUUCCACCUGGCCUAUUAUGGGUUACUGCUGUUGCUGUUGCUGUUGAGCGAACGGUCUUCGUCCCAGAGCUCGCAAGAUCGGAGAAGUCCGAAACGUGGUCCUUUGCUAUUCGUAAGACCCGCAGAAGAGAAAACAGGUCAAUCCCCGACACCGAGCGCAUCGACGGAUGGAUGAAUGCGCAUCCAGGCUCAGCGAUUGCGUAGGAAGUCGGGGACAAGAAACAGGAAGAAAGAGUGAGAGAAAGUUGGGGCGAAAAAGUACAACAGGGGUCGCCACCACCCCCUGCCGGAGCCUCGUGGAGUUUUAGGUGUUUUCGCUCAAUAAACACACACAACGCCCGGGUUUGGGAAUCGAAACCGCGUUCCUCUGAUCACGAGUCCGCUGCCCAAACCACUGGGCCAUUGCGCCUCCUGCUAUUGUUGCUACUACUGUUGGUGCUGCUAUGACCGUUAUUGCUACUAGUGUUACUGUUGUUUUUGCAGCUAUAGUGAUCACCUGCCUGUGUUGUAGCUGUUUUGGUGUCAUCAAAGUAGUAGAUGAUCCCUUCUCACUUUCAGUCUGAGAAGAAGGCAUUUGUAUGGUUGUAUUUUCAAAAUUUAUUAAAUAUUGAAACGUUUGUGUUAUGUAAUAUCUGUUUAAAUGAAUCAGCAAAGGGUUGCUUUGCUCUUAUGUUUCUCACCCAUUUGGAAUUGAAGUUCUUUUAUUUCUUAUUCCUUUGAGCCAUGCAGCUGCGGAUCUUAUUGCGGAUUCAGUAAAAUGUAAGUUUUACAAAUAUGACACUGGCUUCAGCAGUCAACAAGUUAAGAAGAAAAGCAGGCGAUAACUCGCCGCAAGGACAAGUACAGAACAUUGAAGAAA
rnacentral:lncRNA from 1 species